rnacentral:rRNA from 1 species
UACGUAGGGUGCGAGCGUUGUCCGGAAUUAUUGGCGUAAAGAGCUCGUAGGCGGUCUGUCGCGUCUGCUGUGAAAUCCCGAGGCUCAACCUCGGGCUUGCAGUGGGUACGGGCAGGCUAGAGUGCGGUAGGGGAGAAUGGAACUCCUGGUGUAGCGGUGGAAUGCGCAGAUAUCAGGAAGAACACCCGUGGCGAAGGCGGCUCUCUGGGACGGUACUGACGCUGAGACGCGAAAGCGUGGGGAGCGAACAGG